GGGUUGCGCUGGGGUGGGUGUCCAGCGCUGUAGGAGGAACGCGGUGGGAGGAAGGCUUGCGGGCGUGCGGACUCGGCUUCGGGCCGAGCGCUUUGAAGAAUUUUGCAGAACCCUGCUACCUACAGACUCUGCCAUGGAUGUCAUGUAAAGAAACCCCGGAUGUAGUAACGGACAAAACAUGAGUCAGUUUGUGUUGUGGCAUUCAGAUCUGAACACACUGGGAGAGAAGUGAUUCUGAAUGGAGAAGACGUAGGACCGGUCAGUGGUAGGAUGGACUGUGCUUGGAAGACAGGCACCUGGAGCUCUCAGUUUGGACUAGGCUGGCUGGCAGUAAGCCCCCAGGAUCCUCCUGUUCUCACACUAGAGGCAUCAAACACCAAGAUUGUGAAGACCAUGGCCCAUCCUUAUGCAUUCAAGAGUUGAGUGUGGAUGACUUGGAGCUGAAAAACCCCUUCAGAAGCUUCAUGUGUCACGUGCAUUGAAGCUCUGCAUUAAACCCGCUCGCACAAGUAAAUGCUCAAAGGGACUGAAGGCCAUUAGUACAGUUUUUAUGUCUCUUUCUUUUACUUCAGUUUCUUUAGCCAUCAGGGUCCUUAAUGUUUCUUGUCUUUACUAUAGUAAAGACUCAGAGAAAGGCUACUUUCCAUGAAGUAGUAUGUACUUUCCAUGAAGUAGUAUGUACUUUCCAUGAAGUAGUAUGUACUUUCCAUGAAGUAGUAUGUACUUUCCAUGAAGUAGUAUGUUCUGUGGCCACAUGCCUUUAUUAGUGGAGAUGGGCAUUUUCACUUGAGUGUUUUGUUACAGCCUAUUAAAAAUUUGAUUCAGUAAUGUGAAAGUGAGGAUUAAAUAUCAAAAAAUUACAAUAUUAGAGAAGUAUGUGCUUAACAUGUGCAAAGCCCCAGGUCCAGUCUGCUGCAUUGUGUGGGGUGGUUAGGGGCUGUGUGGAUGUGCAAGGCCCAGGGUCCAGUUUGCUGCAUUAUGUGGGGGUGGCUAGGGGGUGUGUGAUGUGGUAGAAGUGACUUAAGCUGAGACCUUGGGUAAGGAGCCCUAAGAGUUAAUGGCUCUCAGCCCACCACUGCCUCUUACAGCUAUGUGACUGGGAAAGGUCUUCUCUCUGUGUCUUCAUUGGGCUGACCAGCAGCUGUUUAAAUGAAAGAAUUUAGGGGUAUUCACAGUGUGUCUGCAUAGUAAGAGUAACAUUGUUUCCAUUUUUAUAUGUAACAAUGUGUGCAGUUGGUAAUUAAGUCAAAGUUUUCUUUUUCUUGUGUGUUGCUGUCACAAUUUUCAAAGUAUAAUUUUAGCUCUAGUGCCUUUCUACACAUUUUAAUCCUUGGAGAUUCAUUUCAUUCCUUUCAUACCUGUGAGGAAGGAGUUAGUACUAAUAUCAAUGACAUCUGGUUUAAUUGAAAUAUUUUGUGUUUCAUAAAAUAUAGAAAGCCAGGUAGCCUGUGCUACUGUCUAUCCUGAUACUUACAACACUUAAGAAUUGUUCAACUUCAACUUUUUAGGAAAAUUAUGCUAAGUGUUUUACUUUAGGUAUUUUGUUUAUUUUAUUUUGAUGUGUGUGUGUGUGUGUGUGUGUGUAUGAAUGUAUGUAUAAGAGAGGGUGUGUGUGAGUGAGCCUGUGUGUGAGUGAGCAUGCUUGAGUAUGUGUGUGUGUGUGUGUGUUAUCACUCCUCAUGUGCCAUCUGUCUUUUUUGUUUGUUUGACAUAGAGUCUCUCAUUGGUCUGGAACUGGCCAGUGGCCAAGUAGACCAGGCUGGCUGGCCAGUGAGCCUCAGGGAUCUGCCUAGUUCUACCUCCCCAGCUCUGAGAUUAUAAACCCACACCAGGAUGUCAGAUCCUCAUUCUUGCAGAACACUUUACUGACUAAGCUAACUUCUUAGCUCCCUGUGUGGUUUUGUUUUUGUUUUUGUUUUUGUUUUUGUUUUUGUUUUGUUUUGUCUUUUGAGACUUAGGAGCUUGGUGUUCUAUAAAGGAGAAAAUGCCAGUUUCCCCCUUCUCUUAGUAACUGAGUUUAGGUUAAUGAUUUAAGAUGCAUGUCACUGUAAUUAGCUUGUUUCUUUGAAGACAUCAUUGGUUACCAGUAAGUAGGUGACUGCUAUAGUACUCCUGGACAGUAGGGAGUGCUUUCUUCCAGAGGGUAUACAUUCUGAUUCAUGGUGAGGAAAUGUUUAUUUAUCUUAGUGUGUAUACAUAUAUGUGUGUGUGUGUGUUAUAUGUGUGCUGGUGCAUUUCUCUGUGUGUGUGUGUGUGUGUGUGUGUGUGUGUGAGUGUGAGAGAGACCCAGCUUUAUGUGGGUGUUGAGAAUCUGAACUCAGGUCUUUCUGCUUUUAUAGCAAUCAUUGUACUGAACCAUGUCUCCACCCUGUUUCCUUACUGCACUGAAAUACUUUACUUGGUGCCUUGGAAUUGUUUAAAUUUAACAGAAGGCUAUACAAAGUGUUGAUUUUUCUCCUUAUACAAAUUACAUAAAUGCAUAUAAUCCCAGUGAUGUAAAUAUUUGUCAAGAAAUGUAAAAUGUGGACAGGAGCUACAUGUUGCCUAGUCAUAACCAAGCUUCUUGCAUUGGUGGAGACAGAACGAAUUGCAUAGACUUUGAGAAUUGAGCCUGCCAGGAACAAGACAGUUGGCCUCUGAUGGAGAAGCUGGCCUCUGAUGGAGAAGCUGGCCUCUGAUGGAGAAGCUUCUUACUGCCUGUGACUGACUUUCUUCUUCUUUGACCCCUCCCCUGAACCCGAAACUCCUCACAUUGAUCUUUAUGACCUUGCAUGUAGAAAUACUAGCUACCAGUGAAAAAGCCCAAGAGACACUAAUUGGAUAUCUUGACUGUCCUUGGUCUGUAUGCCCUGCCCUUAUGAAUCUAGUAUCUGCCACUGGCCUUUCUUUUCUACCUUCUAAAUACCUUUAAAUUCCCUCUUUUAGGUCUAGCCUGUACCUUACUCUGUUGUCAGAUUUCCUGAGCCUCUGUAAAAGCCCCUCGCUUGGUUCUCUAUAUUUACUCUCCUUCCCUUCUCUCAUCUCGCUGCAUUCAGAGGAAUCUUCUUUUUGAUCCUCUGCUUUAAGUCCUUGAUGUUUUAUUGCCUCAGGCCGCUAAGCAACAGCAGCAGUGUCCCCUAUCCCACGUUUCCCCCUUGUGUCUCUGACGGUUUCAAUGAGAAACGACCCUCAUUGAAACCGUUUAGGACGUGCAGUCCUGCUGGGGGAAGUUUGUCACUGGGGGAAGCAUUUGAGAGCUUAAGGCUCCGUCCUACUUCAAGUUUGCUCUCAGCUUGGACUAGUGGUUGAGAUGAGAGAUGCUAGCUUCUUUUUUCCUGCCUCUGCUGCCAUGCCCUUCCAUAAUGGACUCUUAGCCCUUUGGAAAUGUAAGCCCAAAUAAACUCUUUCUUUUUU
ensembl:lincRNA 1300002E11Rik RIKEN cDNA 1300002E11 gene